AUCACCCAUUACAACUCAAUGCAAGAAGAAGAGAGAAGAAGAAAUAAAUAAUAAUCACAAAUGUUGCAAAAAACAUGGAUAUAAAACAGCUUUUAUACAUGGAAUAUAUAAUAAAGUUUUGGGGGUUCUUAAUAAAUGAAAUGUGGAUGUCGUACAACAGCAAAAAACCUCAACCGCUGACACAUACCUGCUGACAUCCAACAGGACCAAUGUAUAGAGGUCCCAUUCAGUAUGAGUGGCUUUAAAACUGUAAGAAAUGUAAAAAAGUGCAACAAUAAAAUGGUCCCAAUGGGAGCUUUGACCGUAUUUGGCAUACUGGGGAGUGAAAGGGAUAAGGAACAGGAAAUGACAAAACAAGGGGUCUACAAAAUACCUAUAAACAACUAGGAUCUACAACAUGAAGAGUACUACAAAGGUGCAACAAAAAGUAACCUCCAAGAAGAUUAAAGAACACUGGAAGAAUAAUAGAGCAAGCUAACCUAAGUAUGGCCCUAGCGAUAAGAUGUUAUGAAAACAACACGUUAAGGUGGCAAGAUAUCAGCCUUACCGUGAAUAAUCAGAAAGUGCACUGCCAUAAAGAAAAAUUUCUUACACAAUCAUUAAAAUUCCUAAGAAACAGCAAGAAAGAUAAUAUUAUUAAUGAAAAAAACAAUAGAAGGUGUUCCACCUGCAUGGUUAAUGUUAUGCAAAAUAUUUAAAAAUGACUUGAACAGAUUCAUAUUAAUUUAUUAAUUAUAGUUAUAAAACAGGAUUUUUGUCUAUUUAAC
rnacentral:lncRNA from 1 species